AACGAACGCUGGCGGCAGGCUUAACACAUGCAAGUCGAACGCCCCGCAAGGGGAGUGGCCGACGGGUGCGUACCGCGUGGGAACAUACCCUUUUCUACGGAAUAGCUCUGGGAAACUGGAAUUAAUACCGUAUACGCCCUACGGGGGAAAGAUUUAUCGGGGAAGGAUUGGCCCGCGUUGGAUUAGCUAGUUGGUGGGGUAAAGGCCUACCAAGGCGACGAUCCAUAGCUGGUCUGAGAGGAUGAUCAGCCACAUUGGGACUGAGACACGGCCCAAACUCCUACGGGAGGCAGCAGUGGGGAAUAUUGGACAAUGGGCGCAAGCCUGAUCCAGCCAUGCCGCGUGAGUGAUGAAGGCCUUAGGGUUGUAAAGCUCUUUCACCGAUGAAGAUAAUGACGGUAGUCGGAGAAGAAGCCCCGGCUAACUUCGUG
rnacentral:rRNA from 1 species